rnacentral:misc_RNA from 1 species
UUUUUUUUUUGGCUGAUGAUGUUAAUGAAGUUAAGCCUAGCCUUUUUCCUGUCUUGUAGGAAAAUUUACUUUUGAGGUGUGGGUUUGCAGUUUCCAGGAAACUACGAGCCUCAUGAUUAAGGUGGGUACAAAAAUCAUCAUUAAUGAAUUUCUCUUCUCCUCCUUCACGUGUAAAGUUAUGAUGGAACUAAAUGCUUGAUAAAAGAAGUUUCACCACGUGAAA